AGUGAACGCUGGCGGUAGGCCUAACACAUGCAAGUCGAACGGCAGCACAGUAAGAGCUUGCUCUUACGGGUGGCGAGUGGCGGACGGGUGAGGAAUACAUCGGAAUCUACUUUUUCGUGGGGGAUAACGUAGGGAAACUUACGCUAAUACCGCAUACGACCUACGUGUGAAAGCAGGGGAUCUUCGGACCUUGCGCGAUUGAAUGAGCCGAUGUCGGAUUAGCUAGUUGGCGGGGUAAAGGCCCACCAAGGCGACGAUCCGUAGCUGGUCUGAGAGGAUGAUCAGCCACACUGGAACUGAGACACGGUCCAGACUCCUCCGGGAGGCAGCAGUGGGGAAUAUUGGACAAUGGGAGCAAGCCUGAUCCAGCCAUACCGCGUGGGUGAAGAAGGCCUUCGGGUUGGAAAGCCCUUUUGUUGGGAAAGAAAAGCAGCAGGUUAAUACCCCGCUGUUCUGACGGUACCCAAAGAAUAAGCACCGGCUAACUUCGUG
rnacentral:rRNA from 1 species